AUUGAACGCUGGCGGCAGGCCUAACACAUGCAAGUCGAGCGAGCGGCGGACGGGUGAGUAAUGUCUGGGAAACUGCCUGAUGGAGGGGGAUAACUACUGGAAAAGGUAGCUAAUACCGCAUACCAUCAGAUUUGCCCAGUUGGGAUUAGCUAGUUGGUGGGGUAACGGCUCACCUAGGCGACGAUCCCUAGCUGGUCUGAGAGGAUGACCAGCCACACUGGAACUGAGCCACGGUCCAGACUCCUCCGGGAGGCAGAAGUGGGGAAUAUUGCACAAUGGGCGCAAGCCUGAUGCAGCCAUGCCGCGUGGGUGAGGAGGGCCUUCGGUUUGUAAGGCACUUUCAGCGGGGAGGCGUUACCCACAGAAGAAGCACCGGCUAACUCCGUGCCAGCAGCCGCGGUAAUAC
rnacentral:rRNA from 1 species